CCCUUAGAUGUUCUGGGCCGCACGCGCGCUACACUGACUGGUGCAACAAGUGUCGCUCCUUGGCCGAUAGGCCUGGGCAAUCUUUGAACGCCAGUCGUGAUGGGGAUAGAUUCUACAAUUUUUGAUCUUCAACGAGGAAUUCCUAGUAAACGCGAGUCAUCAACUCGCAUUGAUUACGUCCCUGCCCUUUGUACACACCGCCCGUCGCACCUACCGAUUGAAUGGUCCGGUGAACCCUCCGGAUCGGCUCGCGCCUCCGUUGCUGUUCGGGAAGACUCCCAAACUUGAGCGUUUAGAGGAAGUAAAANUCGUANCA
rnacentral:rRNA from 1 species